CCCUUGGAAACAAAGUACAGAAACCACAUCAACGGUUCUAUUUUUUGCACCCGACUUUCCAAAACGCGCUUAUUUUCAAAUCUCUUCCCCCUCUUCCGCUUUUUCUAUCCGCUGUUUCUUCAUUCACUUCACUUCUUCUGAAUUUCGGGAUGCUUAAUUCCAACAAACCCGAACCUUCAAACGCCGAUUAUCUGGAGCGCCGAAAUUGGGGCAACGUGUUCAACUUAUUGGUUCAGAUGGUGAAGAAUCAGCAAAACCAGCUUCAAUCAUUCGCUAAUCAGCAGAAGUUUCUCGAAGAUCGAUUGAAAAUGCAGAACCAACGUUGGGCUUCUGAUGUUAAACAGUACAAGAAUCAAAUUUCUCAGAUAAAGAGCUUGUUGAUUUUUGAGGAGAAGAAACGGGUGCACGAAGCGCUUAAGGCGGAAUUGAUGAUGGGUUAUAAGGAGAGAGAGGCUUCUGUUUUGAAAUGGAUGUUGGAUGGUGCAGAGGAGGAUUUAGAGGAUUUCAAAGCUGGGUUUGAUAUCCUUUCUGUUAAAGGUACCUCAAGUAGCGGGAAAAAUUCAUCUCCGGAUGAAACAAAAGAUAAACAUGAUAAGCUUGCUGCAGAACAAAAUACUGAGCUAUUAGCACUGUUGGAAGAAAAGAAGUUUGUGUGGAAUCAAUUUAAUAAAAUGGAGGCUGACUACAGUAAUAAAUUGAGAAGUAAACAAGAUGAAGUAAUAAAGGCAAAUGAGACGAUAAGCACACUUGUAUCCAGAAUGGAGGAACUGCAGUCUGAAAAUAGUAAAAAGGAUAGUAGAAUAUCAGAGUUAGAAAGUAAAGUGGCUGAUAGGGACACAGAAAAUAGUAAAAAGGAUAGUAGAAUAUCAAAGUUAGAAAGUAAAGUGGCUGAUAUAAGCACGGAAACAAAUAGAUUAAACAAGGAAAUAUCUGAACUCUCAGCGGAGUUGGAAUCUUUAAGAAAGUUGAAGAACAACAAAGUUAAACCCUUGUCAAAGCGUUGCACGGCAGGUUCUAGUGACUCUGGAACAAUUGAGAGCAGCAGGAGUAGAAGAAAGAUAACUUUUGACAAAGAAUUAUGUACUUCUGUUGAACCUGCUUCCACAUCCACAAACUUCUCCGAAAAGGAGAAAAGAAGAUUGAAGAGGAAAGAAACUCCGGUUAUUCCCACCUCCGAGACACCCAAACUGUUCUCUUCCAGCUUCAAGGUUCCAAAACUAAAGUCAUCUUUAAAGACGAUAUGACAGAUGAUAUCUUUCCACUAAUGUUUUAGUAUGUUUGGAAUCAUCGGUUUUUACGGCGUGCGUCAAACCAAAAGCUAAAACCAGUAGCUUUGCACUCACCACACGACUCCUCUUCCAGAAAUCGCAGUCAUGUUCGAAGAAUCGAGGGAAACUAACUAUGGAUGUCUUCUCCUGGGAAGAUUCAAAUAGUGAUUAGCUGCCUAGUGGUGAAUAGUCUGUUGGGCAAUAUAACUUCUCACCACUUUGAAAUAGUGGUGGUUUAAAAAAUGUUUUGUUGACAUGUAUCUUUUUGCUUCUUUAUGUGAUUAGAGCACACAAAUUGUAGCACACUUUCAUCAUCUACUGACGCAUCAAUCCCCAUUCAACCAAGUAUUUUCAAUCAAAUGUAUAUAGAAAAACCACAUGAAGUAAAUAAAUAAAUUUGUGUUGAAUUUCACUUCUUUGAAACAAAAUGA